rnacentral:tRNA from 2 species
GGGCCGUUAGCUCAGUUGGUAGAGCAGCUGACUCUUAAUCAGCGGGUCGCUGGUUCGAUCCCAGCACGGCCCA